rnacentral:rRNA from 1 species
GAGUUUGAUCUUGGCUCAGAUUGAACGCUGGUGGCAGGCCUAACACAUGCAAGUCGAGCGGAUGACGAGAGCUUGCUCCUUGAUUCAGCGGCGGACGGGUGAGUAAUGCCUAGGAAUCUGCCUGGUAGUGGGGGACAACGUUUCGAAAGGAACGCUAAUACCGCAUACGUCCUACGGGAGAAAGCAGGGGACCUUCGGGCCUUGCGCUAUCAGAUGAGCCUAGGUCGGAUUAGCUAGUUGGUGGGGUAAUGGCUCACCAAGGCGACGAUCCGUAACUGGUCUGAGAGGAUGAUCAGUCACACUGGAACUGAGACACGGUCCAGACUCCUACGGGAGGCAGCAGUGGGGAAUAUUGGACAAUGGGCGAAAGCCUGAUCCAGCCAUGCCGCGUGUGUGAAGAAGGUCUUCGGAUUGUAAAGCACUUUAAGUUGGGAGGAAGGGCAGUAAGUUAAUACCUUGCUGUUUGACGUUACCGACAGAAUAAGCACCGGCUAACUCUGUGCCAGCCGACC